CAGCGGGUGGAAGUCCCGCCGACAUAGGAGUCCAAUCGAUGUCGUAGUUAUAUCCAGCGACGGUAAGGGUGACCGCUCCGUCGAAAGCCUGGACGUAAAAGCCUCCUGUGGCUGGAAGCGUGUUCCGGUCAGAUCCGUCCGGGGAGGCGAGCAACCUGUCAGGCUGUAGCAGUU
rnacentral:ncRNA from 1 species